rnacentral:lncRNA from 1 species
CAUACACAGCCCAAGUGGAUGGCCGGGAUGUUAGUGGAGUCCCAGAUGAAAUGGAAGAAAGCCUUCCUCUCGAGGCUGGAUUCUUGCAAGGCCUUUUGAAGGUCACCUCUUUAUCCCCCUGCCUCCAGACAAGCUCUUAUCAAGUCCUUUGGAGGUUUGUAAAGGAUUCCAGCAAAGGAGCAGCCAGGCUCAAUGUCAUCUUAAACAGCCAAGGUACUCUGAUGUCAAGUUUCAGCUCCUCUGCUCUGUCUCUCUGCUUCUGUUCAUACGACAGGUUCCUUUCUAACCAAGGUGCUGCUUUUUGCAGCACCGGGCCUUCUGUUGACCUCAUAGUCUGUUGUUAUGGCAACUCUGUGAUAUCACAGUAGACACUCCAAAGGGCGGGACUGAUCUAAUUUUUGGACUGAGGUCAGAGGAACAAUGAGAACAGUAAACAGAAAAACAAAUGGACAACAUUUUUAACCCCUGCAGAGACAAGCUGGCCAGGUGUAACUGGGGUCACAGCUGUUGAUAUUUAAACAGCUAAUCCGAAAUCCAAAAGGUCAAUAUAUCCAGCCAUUCAGGGGGACUUUGGUAAAUGAUUUAUCUUGGUGGCAGGAGGCCUUAGAUGUGGGGUUAAAUCUGUCUCCAGUUCCUUGAGCCUGAACCUUUCCAGACACCUCCUUGAGUUCCCUGUCUGCCUAUCACAGAGAUGUCAAAAAAGCCUCCUCUUCUCAAGGCUUGGGAUGGCUAAGGACAGACCCAACUGGACCUUUCAAAUUCCACUCCCCAAAGAGUUCAGAAGUCAGGAAGUAAAGACUUGGCAGCAGAAGAAAGAUCAGCCUUGAUUUUCACGGUUGCCCGGAGGAUGAAGAGCCUCAAAGUUCAGUGGAAGAUUCUGGUUUCACAAGGCUCCAAGAACACAGCAACAACAAACACUUUCAUUGUUAACAUCUGCCAGCUGCCGGGAGAGAGGAGUUUGGAACUUCUUCUGCCUCUCAAGAGCUUGCCAAGGGCCGAGCUGUCUCUCUGUCUUCCUAAUGUGAGGAGGCUCCAGUAUGAGCUGAAACAAGGGUUAAGCCUGGAACCCACUAGAAUGCCUGUGUCCAGGAGGGCCGCUGUGAGCUGCACACAUCUCAGGAGCACCCUCGUGGUCCAUGAGAUCUGGAAUGGACUUGGAGAGCAUGUAGAGGAAGCUGUUGCACCACCUUGUGUAGAUUCUCCUUCAGGAAAAGGAUGGAGCCACUGACCUCAGACAGGGGCCUCUGUGACUAACUCACUUUAUGUCUCUGGGUUUCAGUUUUUCAUUCUGUAACACAGAGCAAGACUAGGGCUGCUGGGUAGGGGGACAUUAAAUAAAAUCAUAAAGACCCAGGAAGUGGUGGCACACAUCUGUACCAUCCAAUCUGAUGGUCACUACAGCAAUCCACAUGGAUAACCUGACAUUUGGCACAGAAGAAAAAGGAAAUCAAGGCACCAUCCUGGAUCAAAGCACCAGCCAAUCAUCUAUUUGCCUUC